CCUACGGGAGGCAGCAGUCGGGAAUUUUGGGCAAUGGGCGAAAGCCUGACCCAGCAACGCCGCGUGAAGGAUGAAAUCCCUCGGGAUGUAAACUUCGCAAGAACAGGAAGAAUAAGUAAGAGUUAAUAUCUCUUACGAUGACGGUACUGUUUGUAAGCUCCGGCUAACUCCGUGCCAGCAGCCGCGGUAAUACGGGGGGAGCAAGCGUUGUUCGGAUUUACUGGGCGUAAAGGGCGCGUAGGCGGCCACCGCAAGUCGGUUGUGAAAUCUCCGGGCUUAACCCGGAAAGGUCAACCGAUACUGCGGGGCUAGAGUGCAGAAGGGGCAACUGGAAUUCUCGGUGUAGCGGUGAAAUGCGUAGAUAUCGAGAGGAACACCUGCGGCGAAGGCGGGUUGCUGGGCUGACACUGACGCUGAGGCGCGAAGGCUAGGGGAGCGAACGGGAUUAGAUACCCCGGUAGUCCUAGCCUUAAACGAUGAAUGCUUGGUGUCUGGGGUUUUAUAGUCCCCGGGUGCCGUCGCUAACGCUUUAAGCAUUCCGCCUGGGGAGUACGGUCGCAAGACUGAAACUCAAAGGAAUUGACGG
rnacentral:rRNA from 1 species